ACAUGUCUCCAGCGACUCCCGCUGCCUUUUUAUCGCGGGCUUUAGCCACCCCCACCCCCUCGGUGGCACUCGCCGGCCGCCCUGGCUGUUACCUUAUAAGGUGGACCCAAAGCAAAGGAUCCCGGAUUCAUCAUUUAUUGGCAGCCCUUGGUGGGAAGAGGAUGGCUUGGGCUCUGAGGGGAAGUAGAGAU